rnacentral:rRNA from 1 species
GGGCCCGCACAAGCGGUGGAGCAUGUGGUUUAAUUCGAUGAUACGCGAGGAACCUUACCAGGACUUAAAUGUAAGUUGCAUGAUUCAGAAAUGAAUCUUUCUUCGGACUACUUACAAGGUGCUGCAUGGUUGUCGUCAGCUCGUGCCGUGAGGUGUCAGGUUAAGUCCUAUAACGAGCGCAACCCCUAUCGUUAGUUGCCAUCGAGUCAUGUCGGGAACUCUAACAAGACUGCCGGUGCAAACCGCGAGGAAGGUGGGGAUGACGUCAAAUCAUCACGGCCCUUACGUCCUGGGCUACACACGUGCUACAAUGGCCGGUACAGAGGGCAGCCACACCGCAAGGUGGAGCGAAUCCUUAAAACCGAUCUCAGUUCGGAUCGCAGUCUGCAACUCGACUGCGUGAAGCUGGAAUC